rnacentral:rRNA from 1 species
UACGAAGGGGGGCAAGCGUUGUUCGGAAUUACUGGGCGUAAAGGGCGCGUAGGCGGUGCUCUAAGUCAGGCGUGAAAGCCCUGGGCUCAACCCGGGAAUUGCGCUUGAUACUGGAGCGCUUGAAUCCAGGAGAGGUUGGUGGAAUUCCCAGUGUAGAGGUGAAAUUCGUAGAGAUUGGGAAGAACACCGGUGGCGAAGGCGGCCAACUGGACUGGUAUUGACGCUGAGGCGCGAAAGCGUGGGGAGCAAACAGG